AGCUAUGUGUCAGAGAAAAAUCAUUCCUGAACCCACCACUGGUGAGGGCAGAUUAGAUCCUAAACUGGUAAUGAAAAAUCAUGAAAACACGUGGAAGCUGUUUUUAUCUUCUGUUUGCCUUUUCAUAUACUUAAGUGCUUAUUUUGAAUACCUUUUCGUGUAUUUCCAGUUAUGUCUGUCAUAUUAAUCCCUGGUGACACUAUUGAGUAUAUGUCACAUUACACAGUACUGAAGAAUAGGCUUGAGCAGAAACCUCAGACAUCUGUGGAUUUGGUUGAAGUACAACUGUGCUUUACAUGUGAGAGUUGUCUCAAACACACAUGCAUUCCUCAGACUUGACUUUUGCAGUUAUAACAAAAAUUGUGUUGAUUUAGCAGCUUUAUCACUUUUUCUCCUUACUGAUUUCACAGUGAAGAAAUAAACAUAGUAAUCUUUGUGUUUCUUUAAUACUUGAAUGUAAAAUUUCCCAGUUUAUCUGGGACAAUGAGUAUAAUUAUACCAUUCUAGACAUGGGAUAUGUUCUGGACUAAAAAGGAAUAUUUAUAUUCCUGCAAAUACUAGUCUUUUCUUUACCAUAACUUCUGUGCGGGCUUUUGAGUAAUGAAGUUUUCCUUGGCCAGUUUAUCAGAACCAUUUAAAUGCUUGACAUGUGUAAACCAGUGUUUCAGAGCAUAUAAAAUCCAGUUUCAGUGCCAUUAAAAUCCAUAUAUAAAAUCCAAGUUCUCACCUGUAAUUAACGGGCAAUCACUUGUAAUUGCCCUAUGUCUCUUGUUUUUUACAGCGCUCUUGUACAAUCUUAUUACUCGGGUUACUCAUCAAGAUCUGGAUCCAGCUGCCCUGCCCUGAUUUCAGUUUUCAGUUCUGACAUGGGAUGGCUCCUUGUACAGCUCCCUGUGAACAGUCAGCUCUCAAUAGAGUCAAUGGAUGUGCCCACAGUGCGUAGUCAGGAAUAUGUAUGUGUGGUUGUCUUCUCCAGCUGCCUUUAAUUAGGAAUUCUCCUGAUGAAAUCCUGCAUUGAGCCCUUCAUUUCAGUCAUGCGACCAUUAAUCUAAGAAUUCUCUGAAGCUGGAAAAACAAGACUAAAAAUGGAUCUCCAAGGAUUUUCAGAGGGAAAAUGAAGUUCUGCCUACUGGAGCAUCCUGGUUCAGGUAUGUGGAAUGCACAUGAUUAGGGAUGGCCCUGUCAGACACCCUGCCAGUGAAGAGAAAUAGCAGUGAGGAAGUGUGACUGCCAUUUAUCACACCCUUUCACACCAGAGUCAGCCUUUCAUAUUUUACUAUUUUUAUUCGCACAU
rnacentral:lncRNA from 1 species